rfam:Fukomys damarensis contig158722, whole genome shotgun sequence.
CUUCACCCUCCUGAACGCACCUGAUCUCAUCUGACCUCAGAAGCUAAGCAGGGUCAGGCCUGGGUAGUACUUGGGUGGGGGACUUGGGCUUCUUUAAAAAAUGAAGUUUAAGU